UACGUAGGUGGCGAGCGUUAUCCGGAUUUAUUGGGUUUAAAGGGUGCGCAGGCGGGAGAUUAAGUCGGCGGUGAAAUUUUGCAGCUCAACUGUAAAAGUGCCUUCGAAACUGGUUUCCUUGAGUGUAGAUGAAGUAGGCGGAAUUCGUGGUGUAGCGGUGAAAUGCAUAGAUAUCACGAGGAACUCCGAUUGCGAAGGCAGCUUACUAAGCUACUACUGACGCUCAGGCACGAAGGCGUGGGGAUCAAACAGGAUUAGAUACCCUGGUA
rnacentral:rRNA from 1 species